rnacentral:rRNA from 1 species
ACAGCAGUCGCCGCGGGAAUACGAAGGGGGCUAGCGUUGUUCGGAUUUACUGGGCGUAAAGCGCACGUAGGCGGAUCGAUCAGUCAGGGGUGAAAUCCCAGAGCUCAACUCUGGAACUGCCUUUGAUACUGUCGAUCUGGAGUAUGGAAGAGAUGAGUGGAAUUCCGAGUGUAGAGGUGAAAUUCGUAGAUAUUCGGAGGAACACCAGUGGCGAAGGCGGCUCACUGGUCCAUUACUGACGCUGAGGUGCGAAAGCGUGGGGAGCAAACAGGAUUAGAUACCCCUGUAGUCCCUGUCUCUUAUAC